UGCUGUGUGCCUUGGACUCAAUGGAACGGA
rnacentral:piRNA from 1 species